rnacentral:rRNA from 1 species
GUGGACUAAUACCGGAUAAUAUCUCGUCUCAUAAGAGGUCGGGAUCAAAGAUGGCUUCGGCUAUCACCUAUGGAUGGGCCUGCGUCUGAUUAGUUUGUUGGUGAGGUAAUGGCUCACCAAGGCAGUGAUCAGUAGCUGGUCUGAGAGGGCGAUCAGCCACAUUGGGACUGAGAUACGGCCCAGACUCCUACGGGGGGCAGCAGUGGGGAAUUUUGCGCAAUGAGCGAAAGCUUGACGCAGCAACGCCGCGUGAUCGAAGAAGCUCUGCGGAGUGUAAAGAUCUGUCAUAGGGGAAGAAAAAUUCCGUUAUUAACACCAUCGGAACGUGACGGUACCCUAUAAGAAAGCCCCGGCUAACUUCGUGCCAGCAGCCGCGGUAAUACGUAGGGUGCGAGCGUUAAUCGGAAUUACUGGGCGUAAAGGGUCCGCAGGUUGUUUUGUAAGUCAGAUGUGAAAGCCCCGGGCUUAACCUGGGAACUGCGUCUGAAACUACAAGGCUAGAGUAUGGCAGAGGGGGGUGGAAUUCCGCGUGUAGCAGUGAAAUGCGUAGAUAUGUGGAGGAACACCGAUGGCGAAGGCAGCCCCCUGGGUCAAUACUGACGCUGAGGGACGAAAGCAUGGGGAGCAAACAGGGUUAGAUACCCUGGUAGUCCAUGCCCUAAACGAUGUCAACUAGUUGUCGGGCCUUUACGGGCUUGGUAACGUAGCUAACGCGUGAAGUUGACCGCCUGGGGAGUACGAUCGCAAGAUUAAAACUCAAAUGAAUUGACGGGGACCCGCACAAGCGGUGGAUUAUGUGGAUUAAUUCGAUGCAACGCGAAAAACCUUACCUACCCUUGACAUGUAUCGAAGCCCGCAGAAAAGCGGGGGUGCCCGAAAGGGAACGAUAACACAGGUGCUGCAUGGCUGUCGUCAGCUCGUGUCGUGAGAUGUUGGGUUAAGUCCCGCAACGAGCGCAACCCUUGUCAUUAAUUGCCAUCAUUUAGUUGGGCACUUUAAUGAGACUGCCGGUGACAAACCGGAGGAAGGUGGGAUGACGUCAAGUCCUCAUGGCCCUUAUGGGUAGGGCUUCACACGUAAUACAAUGGCGCGUACAGAGGGUU